ensembl:lncRNA
AGUUAGUCUGUGGCCAAAGAAGACUACUGCUGCAGGAGGAGGAGCUGCAGAGCAAAUCAGAGGAGCUGCUGAGUCGUGGUGUGUGUGAGGGGUGUGUGUGUGUGAACGUGGAGGAGUUGAAAGGUCAGGUGAACAAACUGCAGAGCAGGAACAGAGAGCUGGAGCUGCAGAGCAGUGGGAGAAACAACGACUACAGACAGCAUGCGGAGGCCCUGGCUAGUCUGCGUUCUGAGAUGGUGAGGGCUCAGUCAGAGGAGCUCCGGAGAGAACGGAAACACGCAGAAGUGGAAAAGGAACAAAUGCAAAAAGAGAUGGAGGAAGAGAGAGACAGACUGCAGAAAGAGGGAGAAGAAGAGAGAGACAGACUGCAGAAAGAGGGAGAAGAAGAGAGAGAACGCCUGCAGAAAGAGAGAGAAGAAGAGAGAGACAGACUGCAGAAAGAGGGAGAAGAAGAGAGAGAACGCCUGCAGAAAGAAAGAGAAGAAGAGAGAGAACGCCUGCAGAAAGAGAGAGAAGAAGAGAGAGAACGCCUGCAGAAAGAGAUAGAAGAGGUGAAAGGAAGAGUGACAACACAGAUGGAAGGAAACACGGAGCUUGUGGAGGAGCAGAGAGAGAGUCUGAACCAGGAGAAGAAGAGAUUGAAGGAGCAGGCGGACGAGGAAAGGAAGAGAUUGAAGGAGCAGGCGGACGAGGAAAGGAGGAGAUUGAAGGAGCAGGUGAAGAAGGCGAUAGAAGAGGUGAUGAGGAAACAUGCAGCUGAGCUCCACAACGCCCAGGAAGCACUGAGGACAAACCAAGAGGUGUGUGUACGUGUGCAGGAGGACAGGAGGAGUGGUGAAGAGGUGUGUCGAAGGCUGGAGACUGAGAGGGAGGAGCUUAGAGACCAGCUGCAGCAGGCAACCAAUCAGAUCUGGCGUUUGGAAGGAGUCAUUCAGCAGCAAAGUCAGGGGGUGUGGCCUCUGAAACUCCUCCCACCUGCGGAAUCCACUGUUCCCACCUCCGAGAGGAUCUACAGCACAUACAGGAAGAGAUGGAGCAACAGAGAGAGAGUUACGAGAGGGAGAUGACAGGUCUGAGAACAGACAAACAGAGACUGGAGGAGAAGGUUCUAGAGCUCAACCAACAGACCCAAGGGAACACAGACAGAAACGUUCUAGAACACAACCAAGAGAACACUGACAGAAACGUUCUAGAACACAACCAAGAGAACACUGACAGAAACGUUCCAGAACACAACCAAGAGAACACUGACGAGAGAAUCCGG